rnacentral:rRNA from 1 species
UACGAAGGGGGCUAGCGUUGUUCGGAAUUACUGGGCGUAAAGCGCGCGCAGGCGGUCUUCCAAGUCAGUGGUGAAAGCCCGGAGCUCAACUCCGGAACUGCCAUUGAAACUGUAAGACUUGAGGAUGAGAGAGGUGAGUGGAAUUCCCAGUGUAGAGGUGAAAUUCGUAGAUAUUGGGAAGAUCACCGGUGGCGAAGGCGGCUCACUGGCUCAUAUCUGACGCUCAGGCGCGACAGCGUGGGGAUCAAGCAGG